GAUGAACGCUGGCGGCGUGCCUAAUACAUGCGAGUCGGGCGAAUGGAUUAAGAGCUUGCUCUUAUGAAGUUAGCGGCGGACGGGUGAGUAACACGUGGGUAACCUGCCCAUAAGACUGGGAUAACUCCGGGAAACCGGGGCUAAUACCGGAUAACAUUUUGAACCGCAUGGUUCGAAAUUGAAAGGCGGCUUCGGCUGUCACUUAUGGAUGGACCCGCGUCGCAUUAGCUAGUUGGUGAGGUAACGGCUCACCAAGGCAACGAUGCGUAGCCGACCUGAGAGGGUGAUCGGCCACACUCGGACCGCGACACGGCCCAGACCCCUACGGGAGGCAGCAGUAGGGAAUCUUCCGCAAUGGACGAAAGUCUGACGGAGCAAAGCCGCGUGAGUGAUGAAGGCUUUCGGGUCGUAAAACUCUGUUGUUAGGGAAGAACAAGUGCUAGUUGGAUAAGCUGGCACCUUGACGGUACCUAACCAGAAAGCCACGGCUAACUACGUGCCAGCCGCCGCAGUAA
rnacentral:rRNA from 1 species